UGAGUAACCUGCCCUUAACUCUGGGAUAAGCCUGGGAAACUGGGUCUAAUACCGGAUAUGACUCCUCAUCGCAUGGUGGGGGGUGGAAAGCUUUAUUGUGGUUUUGGAUGGACUCGCGGCCUAUCAGCUUGUUGGUGAGGUAAUGGCUCACCAAGGCGACGACGGGUAGCCGGCCUGAGAGGGUGACCGGCCACACUGGGACUGAGACACGGCCCAGACCCCUACGGGAGGCAG
rnacentral:rRNA from 1 species